AACGAACGCUGGCGGCAUGCCUAACACAUGCAAGUCGAACGAGACCUUCGGGUCUAGUGGCGCACGGGUGCGUAACGCGUGGGAACCUGCCCUUAGGUUCGGAAUAACUCCCCGAAAGGGGUGCUAAUACCGGAUAAUGUCUUCGGACCAAAGAUUUAUCGCCUUUGGAUGGGCCCGCGUUGGAUUAGCUAGUUGGUAGGGUAAAAGCCUACCAAGGCGACGAUCCAUAGCUGGUCUGAGAGGAUGAUCAGCCACACUGGGACUGAGACACGGCCCAGACUCCUACGGGAGGCAGCAGUGGGGAAUACUGGACAAUGGGCGAAAGCCUGAUCCAGCAAUGCCGCGUGAGUGAUGAAGGCCUUAGGGUUGUAAAGCUCUUUUACCCGGGAUGAUAAUGACGGUACCGGGAGAAUAAGCUCCGGCUAACUCCGUG
rnacentral:rRNA from 1 species